AAAAGAGUAUUUCUAACACACAAUAAUUGAAAGAUUAGAGAAUCACUCUGUAUCAUUUUUCCAUUCUUUUUUUAAUUGUGCUAUUUUCCAUAUAAAAUCAUUUUAAAUGCUUAUGUUCAUUGGGUGCUAAUUUUUCUCAAUCAAUUUGUUCUAAAUUUAGAUUGAUAAUCCAUAAUAUUGACAGUAUAACCUAAAGGUGAUUAUAUAUCUUUUGAAGG
rnacentral:lncRNA from 1 species